rnacentral:rRNA from 1 species
AGCGAACGCUGGCCGCAGGCCUAACACAUGCAAGUCGAACGAACUCUUCGGAGUUAGUGGCGGACGGGUGAGUAACACGUGGGAACGUGCCUUUAGGUUCGGAAUAACUCAGGGAAACUUGUGCUAAUACCGAAUGUGCCCUUCGGGGGAAAGAUUUAUCGCCUUUAGAGCGGCCCGCGUCUGAUUAGCUAGUUGGUGAGGUAAAGGCUCACCAAGGCGACGAUCAGUAGCUGGUCUGAGAGGAUGAUCAGCCACAUUGGGACUGAGACACGGCCCAAACUCCUACGGGAGGCAGCAGUGGGGAAUCUUGCGCAAUGGGCGAAAGCCUGACGCAGCCAUGCCGCGUGAAUGAUGAAGGUCUUAGGAUUGUAAAAUUCUUUCACCGGGGACGAUAAUGACGGUACCCGGAGAAGAAGCCCCGGCUAACUUCGUG